rnacentral:lncRNA from 1 species
CCAGCCCCGAGCCGGGGUCUGCGGUGCGCCCCGCACUUCGGCUUCGCCCAUUUCUGGUCAGUUUCGCCGGCGCGGCCGCGGUGGGCUGUGGGAGAGGCCGGACCGCCCAGGACCACACCGCAGCCUAACUGCUGGCCUCUCCGCUAGAGAGGCUCAGAAAGCAGAGACCCGGAGCACAGCUUCGACCUCUCCUUGUCGGAAGAGUGGAGGUCCUAUUCCAAGGGGCCGGUCUCUCUAAAUAUGCCCGAGGAUGACCGAGAGGCCGCCCAGCGAGGCGGCACGCAGUGACCCCCAGCUAGAGGGACGGGACGCG